UACGUAGGGGGCAAGCGUUGUCCGGAUUUACUGGGCUUAAAGAGCGUGUAGGCGGCCAAACAGGUCCGUUGUGAAAACUGGAGGCUUAACCUCCAGACGUCGACGGAAACCGUGUGGCUAGAGUCCGGAAGAGGAGAGUGGAAUUCCUGGUGUAGCGGUGAAAUGCGCAGAUAUCAGGAAGAACACCAAUGGCGAAGGCAGCUCUCUGGGACGGUACUGACGCUGAGACGCGAAAGCGUGGGGAGCGAACAGG
rnacentral:rRNA from 1 species